UCCUACGGGAGGCAGCAGUAGGGAAUAUUGCACAAUGGGGGAAACCCUGAUGCAGCAACGCCGCGUGAGUGAUGAAGGCCUUCGGGUCGUAAAGCUCUGUUGUAAGGGAAGAAUGUCCGUACGUCUAAUAAACGUGCGGAGUGACGGUACCUUAUAAGAAAGCACCGGCUAACUUCGUGCCAGCAGCCGCGGUAAGACGGGGGGUGCAAACGUUGUUCGGAAUCAUUGGGCGUAAAGCGUGUGCAGGUGGCUUGUAAAGUCAGAUGUGAAAGCCCCGAGCUUAACUCGGGAAGUGCAUUUGAAACUCACAAGCUUGAGUAUGGAAGAGGGUCGUGGAAUUCCAGGUGUAGUGGUGAAAUACGUAGAUAUCUGGAGGAACACCGGUGGCGAAGGCGGCGACCUGGUCCAAUACUGACACUCAUACACGAAAGCGUGGGGAUCAAACAGGAUUAGAUACCCUGGUAGUCCACGCUGUAAACGAUGGAUACUUGAUGUUGAAGGUAUUGACCCCUUCAGUGUCGGAGCUAACGCGUUAAGUAUCCCGCCUGGGGAGUACGGUCGCAAGAUUAAAACUCAAAGAAAUUGACGGGGGCCCGCACAAGCGGUGGAGCAUGUGGUUUAAUUCGAUGCAACGCGAAAAACCUUACCUGGGUUUGGCAUGCCCGGACAAUCCUAGGGAUAGGACUUUCCCGAAAGGGACCGGAGCACAGGUGCUGCAUGGCUGUCGUCAGCUCGUGUCGUGAGAUGUUGGGUUAAGUCCCGCAACGAGCGCAACCCUUGCUAUUAGUUGCCAGCAUUAAGUUGGGCACUCUAAUAGGACUGCCAUCGUUAAGAUGGAGGAAGGUGGGGAUGACGUCAAGUCCUCAUGGCCUUUAUAUCCAGGGCAACACACGUGCUACAAUGGUAGGUACAAACCGUCGCCAACUCGCAAGAGGGAGCUAACCGGAAAAAACCUAUCUAAGUUCAGAUUGGAGUCUGCAACUCGACUCCAUGAAGGUGGAAUCGCUAGUAAUCGCGGAUCAGAACGCCGCGGUGAAUACGUUCCCGGGCCUUGUACACACCGCCAU
rnacentral:rRNA from 1 species